UGAAUGUCCUAGGGGGUAUUGCACUUACCGAAGACUAUCAAACUCCGAAUGCCGUUUUCUUUUACUUGGGAGUCAGACUGUGGGUGAUAAGAUUCAUAGUCAAAAGGGCAACAGCCCAGAUCGUCAGCUAAGGUCCCUAAAUGUACGUUAAGUGGUAAAGGAUGUGGGAUUGCACAGACAACCAGGAUGUUGGCUUAGAAGCAGCCACUCAUUUAAAGAGUGCGUAAUAGCUCACUGGUCGAGUGAUCCUGCGCCGAAAAUUUCCGGGGCUAAAACGUACUACCGAAGCUACGGCAUCAUUUAUGAUGGGUAGGGGAGCUUCGUAUGCAGGCUGAAGCAUGACCGUAAGGACAUGUGGACAGUAUACGAGUGAGAAUGUUGGCAUGAGUAGCGAGACGUGGGUGAGAAUCCCACGGGCCGUAAACCCAAGGUUUCCAGGGGAAGGUUCGUCCGCCCUGGGUUAGUCGGGACCUAAGCCGAGGCCGAAAGGCGUAGGUGAUGGACAACAGGUUGAUAUUCCUGUACCGCCAAUAAGCGUUUGAGAGAUGGAGUGACACAGUAGGAUAAGCUAACCGUACUGUUGGUUAUGUACGGCUAAGCAUUGAGGCAGUCUAAAUAGGCAAAUCCGUUUAGACAAUGCUAGGAUGUGAUGGGGAAGCCCUUCGGGGCGAAGUAGCUGAUUUCACACUGUCAAGAAAAGCUUCUAUCGAGUUUAAAGGCGCCCGUACCGUAAACCGACACAGGUGGGUGAGGAGAGUAUCCUAAGGCCAGCGAGAGAACUAUUGUUAAGGAACUCGGCAAAAUGACCCCGUAACUUAGGGAGAAGGGGUGCCUGUCUAUGACAGGCCGCAGAGAAUAGGCCCAAGCGACUGUUUACCAAAAACACAGGUUUCUGCUAAGUCGCAAGACGAUGUAUAGGAGCUGACGCCUGCCCGGUGCUGGAAGGUUAAGGGGAUCUGUUAGAGCAAUCGAAGCAGUGAACUUAAGCCCCAGUAAACGGCGGCCGUAACUAUAACGGUCCUAAGGUAGCGAAAUUCCUUGUCGGGUAAGUUCCGACCCGCACGAAAGGCGUAACGAUUUGGGCACUGUCUCAACAAUAGACUCGGUGAAAUUGUAAUCCCGGUGAAGAUGCCGGGUACCUGCGACAGGACGGAAAGACCCCAUGGAGCUUUACUGUAGCUUGACGUUGGGUCUUGGUACUACAUGUACAGGAUAGGUGGGAGACUAUGAAGCAUGGACGCCAGUCUGUGUGGAGUCAUCCUUGGGAUACCACCCUUGUAGUACUGGGAUCCUAACCAUAGGCCUUGAAUCAGGUCUUGGAACACCGUCAGGUGGGCAGUUUGACUGGGGCGGUCGCCUCCUAAAAAGUAACGGAGGCGCUCAAAGGUUUCCUCAGCACGGUCGGAAAUCGUGCGAAGAGUGUAAAGGCAAAAGGAAGCUUGAUUGCAAGACAUACAGGUCGAGCAAGGACGAAAGUCGGACUUAGUGAUCCGGUGGUACCGCAUGGAAGGGCCAUCGCUCAACGGAUAAAAGCUACCCUGGGGAUAACAGGCUUAUCUCCCCCAAGAGUCCACAUCGACGGGGAGGUUUGGCACCUCGAUGUCGGCUCAUCACAUCCUGGGGCUGUAGUAGGUCCCAAGGGUUGGGCUGUUCGCCCAUUAAAGUGGUACGCGAGCUGGGUUCAGAACGUCGUGAGACAGUUCGGUCCCUAUCCGUCGCAGGCGUAGGAAAUUUGAGAAGACCUGUCCUUAGUACGAGAGGACCGGGAUGGACGUACCUCUGGUGUACCAGUUGUUCUGCCAAGGGCAUGGCUGGGUAGCUAUGUACGGAAUGGAUAAGCGCUGAAAGCAUCUAAGCGCGAAGCCAACUUCAAGAUAAGAUUUCCCACCGUAAGGGUAAGACCCCAGGAAGACUACCUGGUUGA
rnacentral:rRNA from 1 species